rnacentral:sRNA from 1 species
AGACAUGAUGGUGAUCCAGCAGCGCCAUCUGUUUCUCUGCGGUUGGCCAGGGUUGCGUUGUCUUGGCUCAUCUGGCUGGCUAAGCGAAAUAUCCCAUUCCUCCCUCACUGGUCCCUGUAUGUCCCUCUUGAAGCUGUCCACUUGAUAGAAGACAACUCUCUCCUGGGGGAGCAGUGUUCAACCGAAGAGACACAAGUAGCUGUGUUCCUCUGCUAGGACUUCCAAACAACACCCGGAGCCAGUCCUCCUUGACGGAUUUCAAGAGCCGAGGACUGAGUCCUCCUG